AACGUAGGACGCAAGCGUUAUCCGGAGUUACUGGGCGUAAAGCGCUCGCAGGUGGUUCGAUGCGUCGUGCGUGAAAGCCCCCGGCUCAACUGGGGAGUGUCGUGCGAUACGGUCGAACUGGAGGCCAGUAGGGGGAUGCGGAAUUCCGGGUGUAGUGGUGGAAUGCGUAGAGAUCCGGAGGAACACCAGUGGCGAAGGCGGUUGCCUGGGGCUUUGCUGACGCUGAGGCGCGAAAGCGUGGGGAGCGAUCCGG
rnacentral:rRNA from 1 species